rnacentral:lncRNA from 1 species
UUAAUGUGGAAGCUGUCCCAGAAGAAGUACGACUGGAAAAUAAUUUUUCAAAACCUGCAAGAAACUCUGAAAUUCAGGAACAGACUGACGCUAGCCUAACAUUACAGAAGUCAAUGAAAUUGUGCUGUUUCUGAGAAGGAAACGUACAUUUUUGAAGUGAAUGUUACAUCCACAUCUGAAAGGAACUUUUAAUGGGAGAGUAUCUGCUGCAUAUGAAAGGAGUUAUCUGACAGACUUUCUGUCCAUCCAGAAAGAAAAUAGUUCUACUUCAUGAACAGAAUGCCUCUGGUGAGAUCUGCGUAGAAGGUUAUCUACUGAUUGUAGAAGAUCCUCAACCUGACAUUGAAUCAUCCAGCACUGAAUGCUGGAUCUAAUUAGCGAAGCUGAGGUGUUUCCUGAAUGUCCUCUAAGC